CCGAACGCCUGUCGCUAUCUUAUCCUCUCCCAGUCCCUUCUCCACCGCUCACUCGCAUCCCACACACUCGCCUUGCGGAGAACUGUCUUGCGCCGGUGACGAGGCAUGCGACGUCGGAAAGGAGCCAGGGGGCGACGGAGGCGAGGAGGUGGAAGAACGCCAUCUAGCAGCUCCACCGGACCCAACAUCGGGGGUGUCCCGCGGCGGAGACGAGGCAGGCUGCGCUGUCCUCGAGGUGUUGCGGCUUGCGGCCACGGGGGAGGAGGCUGAGGAGGCCCCCUAGUUGUGCUCCGACGGAUCCCAGAUGGAGAGCCCGAGCGCUAGCAUGGGGAGGAACCACCGGUUGCAGCGGUGGCGACGGAGAGGAGGCGCGGACGAAGGAGCUGUGAUGGAGGUGGUCGGGCUUAGGUGUGGCGGGGGCAGGCGGAGAGGAGGCCCGGCGAAGGAUCUGUGAUGGAGAUGGCCGCGCUUAGGUGCGGCGGGGGCGACGGAAAGGAGGCGCGGCGAAGGAGCUGCGCUGGCGAUUGCCGCAUUUAGGUGCGGCGGGUGUCGAGAUGCAGCCGGAGAUCUAUGCUGCGUGGUGGCACUGCUUCCGUCGGCACUGGCCGCGCACUUCCUGGUGGUCACCACGGAGCUCCACCUUGGCGUUCACGAGUUUGAACUACGCAAGGACGGGGCGGCUCGCUGGACUAGCCAUGCCAUGUCUACUACCAAUGGUGCCCGAGCCGGCUGUCAACGAAGAGAUGGUGUCCUGAGGCAAUGAUGUUUCUGGGCUUGUCCCAUUUUGGGCUGGUUCGCUGGAGGGGAGGAGCUAGAUCGCUAGCGACAAGUUUGUGCGAUGCGGGAUCGUUCGGGCUGGAGGGGUACUUCUACCGAACGAGUUUGUUCGUUCCAGCACCCUUCCAGUACGAACGAUUUGUUCGGGAUGGGGUGCCUCCAGGCCGAACGUACGCGCGUUAUCGGCGUCCUUUUUUCUUCUUUCUCUUUUUUAUUUAAAGAAAAGGCAAGCAGUUUCUGCCCUAUGCAUUUCAAAACGAGGUAAUAUCAUCCGGAGUCACACAAUUUGCAUCGCAUGUUAGUUUGGUGCUAGAACUUUCAAAAAUAUGUUUUUAUGGUCACCUAACUUGACUCAAGCGUGCAAAUACGGUCACAGUAUGCAUAUGCAGUCGUAUCCAUGUAUAUGACCCCACCUAUCAGUGAGUGAUAGCACUAGGCGCGACAUAGCUUUACAAAAAAAACACCCUCAUAUUUUUUUAGUUGAACAAAAAGUCAACCACCGGGACACAUAUUUGCACAAAAUAUUCACAUUUUUUAUUUACAGAAAAACCCUGACCACAGUGCUGCCGGAAAAUUGACAACAAAAACAGGGUCGGUGCCUCGGUGGGACUCGAACCAACAACCAAGACUUCUAAUACGGGACGAUCUAGCAUUUUUCUUUGAGAAUCGGACGAUCUAGCUACUACAAGAGCCAGGCCAGUACGCACGUUAAAUAACUUAUAUCUAAUGUGAAACAAAAAAAAACUUAUAUUUAAAUGUGGAGCUUUAAUGGGCUGCGCAUACUGCGGCCCACUUUGCACGCGCUAUUUUUUUAGAUACCUGUAGAUGAUAAGUAAUAAAAUUAUAUUCAAAUAUUUAUGUGCUAUACAUACAGAUGAUGAUUAGUAAAUAAAAACAUUUAAAUAUAAACCUGUGUAUUAUAUAUGAAAUAUUUAGUAAAACGUAAGCAAUAAAUAUAUUUAAGAUAUUUGUAAAACCAUAAGUAAUAAAAUUAUGUUCAAAUGUUUGCGUGUUAAAAAUACUAUACAUGCAAACCAUGAUUAUUUAGUAAAAAACAUUUAAAUAUAAAUCUGUAUAUUAUAUAAAAUAAGUAUGCUUAAUGCAUCUAAAAAAAUAUGAACUUGCGGGUUAUAUUUAAAUUAUAUAAAAUGACGAAUACAAACAUUUACUUGUGUAUAAAUUUUACUCAACACUUAUAUGGAAAAAUAUAUAAAUUAAAUAUUAGCCAUGAUUGAAUGUCCAUAUUAAUAGUUUAAAUUUUAAAUUAUAAAUAUUUUUAAUUAUACAAACAUUGAACUAUACAAAUGUGUGUACCAUUAUUUAAAUGUUUAAAUAAUUAAAAUAAUAUUUCUGAAUUAUAUUUUGAAAACUAAAUAUGUAAUACACACAUUUAUAUAACACACUGAUUUAUAUAAUACUCAGGUUUCUAAAAUAUUCAGUAAAUAAUUUUAUCUUAAAAAAUAAGUGCGAAAAUAUGUUUUUGAGGGAUCAUCCAUUUAUAUAUAAAAACAUGUGCAAAAGUAUGUUCUUUGAGUCCAAACAUGCUUUAUUUAUUAUGCGGAAAUAUUUAUGUGCAAAAGUAUGUAAUAAACACAUUUAUAUAACACACAGUUUUACAAAUAUCUUUAAAAAAUAGCACGUGCAAAAUAGGCGGCGAUAUACGCAGCCCAUUUAAGCUCCACAUGUGUAACACAAUCGUUAUCAAUAUUAGAUAUACAUACUUGAACCGCUGAAAAAAAGAUAUAAAGACUUGAAGGUUGGAGCGGCUAGAGCGUUCCCUGUUAGAAUUGGUCGCUUUGCAUAAAUGGGUCGCAAGUAGACUUUUCCGUAAAUUUUAAAAAAUGUUGGUGUUUUUUUAAUAAAAAUACAUCAUUUUUUUUGCGUUCAAACUUGAGAGCUUUAUUCAACUGAAGAAAACCUGCCAUCAUCAGCCAUUAGGCUAGUGAGCAGGAAGGAAGGUCUAGUGUCAGUCCAACUCUCGGUUACCAUCAGUGAGCAUGCAUGCUUAGCACAAAGAUGGGCCGGUACAUUGGCUGACCUGCUUACAUAUUGAAUACAAAAGGAAGUAAAAUUUGCCGCUAGCUCUUCAAUUUCUACAAGUAAAGGUGCCACAACAGAGCGAUUAUUGUGGCGAGAUGUCCAGAGGUUCACUACCUCCAGGCAGUCGGUCUCCAUGAUCACGUGUGAAAACCCACGCAAACUUGCAAAAAUAACACCAUCCCUCAGUGCUAGUGCUUCACCAAUGAACGGAUCUGUAACCCCAUGAUGAGGUUUACUCCAAGAACCCAGCAAGCGAUUGUCAGAACGAGCAACUCCUCCUGCACCACACCUUACCAAGACCAAACUCAUUGCUGCAUCUUUAUUAAUCUUAAUCACUCCCGGAUCCGGAGGAAUCCAACCGUAUCCUGGUAGUAUAACAUCUGCAGCUUGGGGUAUAUCCAAAACGGCCAGAUCAUCCUUGAUCCGCCUAAUAGUCAUUACUGGGUCCAGCUUCUCUCCGUCAUGUGUAAUUCUGUUUCUUGAAUACCAGAUCGCCCACAUAACGGAAAUCAUCUGAGAUCUUUGCAUAUCCGUGAACUGUGGGUCAGACAAGAUGUCUCGCGCCCACGUAUCGGGAUGAAGCUGAGGCCGGCGCACACCCAGCCAAGCAUAAGCUUCCUCCCAGAACAUUUUUGCAUGGGAGCAAUGCACUAGAGCGUGCAUCAAAUCCUCAUCCAUUGCCAAACACACUUUGCAUCUUCCAAUUUCUUGUAUAUGUCUACGCCUCAGAGUGCAUUCAUCUGGUAAUAUUUCCCGCACAACUCGCCACCAGAAUACACGCACUUUUGGCAAAACCUUAAGCUUCCAUAAUCGCUUCCACAUCUGUCCAUCAGUCUGUGAGGUACUUGUAGCCGUCCCUUCCUCUAGAGCUACACGCUCUUUGCAAGUCACGAGAGCACGGUACGCAGGUUUGCCAGAGUAGUUGCCAUUCCUUUCAUGGGCCCAAGCAAGGAAAUCAUGGCCUCCUCCGUGACGCAGCGGCAUAUUAAGUAUAGAUUCUGCUUCCGGGGGGAUGAACACGUCCCGAAUCAAGUCUCUCUUCCAAGACCAAUUCUCUUCAUCUAUAAGGUCACUCACCCAUGCUAGAGUAGUCCCACCAGGUAUAACAGUUGGCCCGAGAGAUGACAGCCCCGGGACCCAUCGGUCUUCCCAUAUGGAGAUGGUAGUACCAGUCCCCACACGUUUCACUAAGCCUUCCUCAAGAGCUUCACGGCCUGCCACAAUGGCUCUCCACACAGCUGAAGAUGAGCGCGGAACAGCGGCAUCCAUGAACUCUCCAUCAGGGAAAUAACGUCCCUUCAUAACACGACCACAUAGGGAAUCUGGAUUGGAGAUGAAACACCAUCCAUGUUUUCCAAGUAGAGCCAAGUUAAACAGUUGCAAAUCUCGAAAGCCCAUGCCACCAUUAACUUUUGGAGAUGCGAGACUGUCCCAUGAUAUCCAGUGCAAGGAUCGUCUAUCAAGGGAACCACUCCACCAGAAUUUCGCCAUGCAAGACGUCGGCUGUUUGCAAACCUUCUUCGUCAAUUUGAAACAGCUCAUGCUGAAGGUUGGAAUAGCCUGAAUAAUUGAUUUUAUAAGGAUCUCUCUCCCUGCACAAGCUAACAACCGUUCAGCCCAUCCAUGCAUUUUGCUUCUUGAUUUUUCACCAAUAUGCUCAAACGUAUCACUGGUGAUCCUCCCGACUGCAGUAGGAAGGCCCAAAUAUCUAUCACUGAACGUUUCCACCAGAAUACUUAGAACUUGCUUAAUUGCCUCUCGCCUGUUAGUAGGCAUAUUGGGAGAGAAAAAUAUGGCACUUUUGUCACGGCUGACUGCCUGCCCCGAACAUGAGGCAUAGAUCCGUAAGAUUCUAUUGAGUCUAUCUGCGCUAUCCAUAGUUGCACUGAUGAAUACUAAGCAAUCAUCUGCAAACAGUAAAUGGUUAACCCAAGGAGCUCUGAAGGACACCCAUAUACCUCUGUCAAUAUGAUCACCUCCAUAGAACUUCAGUAGAGAAGUAAGCCCUUCAACACAAAGAAGGAACAAAAAGGGUGACACUGGAUCCCCCUGUCGGAAACCCCUUGAAGGUGUGAAAAAAGGCAGCAGCUCGCCAUUAACUCUAACUGUGUAUCUCACUGAUGAAACACAUUUCAUAACCAGCCGCACAAAAUUUGCACUGAAGCCAAGUUUCAACAUGAUUGCUUCUAGAUAAUGCCAUUCCACACGGUCAUAAGCCUUCAUCAUGUCUAACUUAACUGCACACGAAUAGUUUUUCCCUUUCUUUCGUCUCCUCAUCGUAUGUACACUCUCAAAUGCAACAAGCACAUUAUCUGUGAUCAGACGACCAGGAACAAACGCACGUUGCUCCUCACCCCCAACUAUAUCCAUCAAUACUUUGAGACGAUUAGUAAUCAUCUUCGCAGCAAUUUUAUAGGGAACUGAGCACAAGGAUAUAGGACGGUACUGUGUAAUGGGCUAGGGUGACGUACCUUCGGUAUGAGGGUAAUUGAUGUAUCAUUAAAGCCUGGUGGAAGUUCCCCUCCGUUAACAAAAUCAAGUAUCGCCGGCACCAGAUCAUCUUGUAUGAGUUCCCAAUGCCUCUGAAAAAACCCCGCGGUGAAUCCAUCAACACCCGGAGCUUUGGAUGGCGACAUCUGAAAGAGUGAUGUCCGUGCCUCAUCUGCCUCAAACGGUUUAUCCAGGGAGGUGUUCAUCUCCAUCGUAACCCGUUCAGGAACAAACUGUAGCAGUUCAUCCAUUACAUGAAACCUUGCGAGGUAUACAACGCUUGGUAGAACGAUUGUACCUCACUUUUGUCCUCAUCUUCAGAAGUACAGACUGAACCGUCCGCUCGCUAAAGGUUGGAAAUUCUGUUCAUACGCUUACGCUGAGCUGCUUGGGCCUGGUAAUAUUUUGUGUUGCGAUCGCCCUCACGCAGCCAUGGCACCCUCGACCUCUGUCGUAACCACACUUCCCCCUGCCGGAGAGCCUCCCGCAAUUUAACAACGAUAGAUUUCUCCUCCUCGGAGGGUCCCUUGCCAACAGACUGCCUCCGAACCAUCUCAAGUUUUUUUCUGUAAUUUCCUUACAGUUCUCGCUAGGCAACCAAACUCCCUUGCUCCCCAAGAACCCAGCUCCCUCUGCAUACACUGCAAAGUAGCUGAUAUCGAUGCAAGACCAUGCUCGGUAUGGUUCCGUCGCCACAUUUCUGCUACAACAUUGUCAUACUCCGCAUGAGACUGCCAUACAUCCUCAUAACGAAAUUGCUUUGGUCCCCUUAUAUUCAAAGAAUCACGAGUUUCAACAAGUACAAAGCAAUGGUCUGACUCUAUAGAACUAAUAUGACGUACACGAGAAAGCUCGUAUCUUUGCAGAUAUACAGCAUUUGCUACACCUCGAUCAAGACGGGCUUUAACAUUAGCUCCACCCGCCUGCCUAUUAUCCCAUGUGAAGGGUACGCCUGAGAAGCCCAUGUCCUGCAGAGCGCACUCUUCCAGAGCCUCUCGAAACGCCCGCAUCUGCCACUCCGGUCUAGCUGCUCGACUGAAGUGCUCAGUGCCAUACAACGUCUCGUUAAAAUCUCCAACACACAUCCAUGCCUGAUGUUGAAUAGCGUGCAGUGUGCAUAGACAUCUCCAGCUUUGAUGCCUAUCCUCACUUCUUGGAGCUCCAUAGAACCCCGUAAAUCUCCAUUCCGGAGCACUAUUAUCAGCUUUCCGGACCAUAGCAUCGAUAUGACCAGAACUGAAGUUUUUGAGAUCAACUAUCAUGUCUUUGGACCAAAACAGUCCAAUUCCACCACUAAGCCCAUUACUAUCCACCGCAAAACAUCCCGCAAGCCUAAGUGUUUGCUGUAAUCUUUCCACUCUCUUCGCCCUAAUCUUUGUCUCCAUAACAAAAACUAGGGAAGGCCCUUCUUGCUUCACAAUUUUGCGAAGCUCUCGAACUGCCUCGGGGUUCCCAAGCCCCCGGCAGUUCCAGCUUAAACAAUUCAUUGGCUCCGGCAGGGCUGACUAUCAGCCGCUGCCGAGUCUUCCGAAGUUAGGGGCGUAGGUUUCUUCUUCUUUGGAUCAGGCUCAACUGCAGAAUCCUCCCCAACCUUUGGCCCUACGUUAUUGGCCUUUCCACCUGAAUUGAAAACCACUAUAUCCAUUUGCGCAACUGUGCCAGUACCAUGAUCUUUUGCACCGUCCGCCAAUGCCUCUGGAUCCACCCUCCUGUAGACCUUAUUCUGCUGUGGGCCUCCCUUUUUUUUAUUUGUAUUCUCUCUAUACUUUACUGGGGAAGUAACCUCAGCUGAACCCAUAGCUUUCUUCUUUGGCGCAUUUGCAUCAGUCCUGCAGUUAUUUGAGCUCUGCUGCUCUUUUGAUGCACUAUCCCCUGAGGCAGCAGGUUUCUUGUCCUCCGGUGCUCUCAGACUUGUAUUAAACGGCAAAUCUCCAUUCUCAUCUCGAGUACCAGGCGUAGGACAGACAAUAUCCACGUGGCCAAGUCUACCACAGGAAAAACAAAAAUUGGGGACUUGCUCAUACUGCACAUCAUACCAGUCCCUACCCUGUCUCUUUGCAGAGUCAAUUAAGAUCCAUUGCCGCAAGGGUUUAGAUACAUCAAUUGUAACAUGGGUUCUCAGAAACCCCCCUCCCACGGGAUCAAACUGUACUGACUUCACCUGUUUAUCAAUCUGUUUUGCCACCGCCAAA